GACUCGCUCACUUUAACCAUUGGCAAGCAUUUCCCGUGUGCUUUUAUUUUUUUGAGUUUUUCUAAAUUAGUAAAUACCCAUGGAUUCAUUCAACACCCAAAUAAAUGGCAGUCAUUUUAAUAUAAGACCGGGUUCAGGUUUAGGUGUUUUUCUAAUUCCCAAAGCGAUCGGAACCUGUCGAGAUUCGAAAGUAACAUCACAGAAUUCAGUGAAUUAUUGAGCAGUGAAUCUUAUCGUCAUUUCGCUUAGGGAUUAGCAUUUCGGAUUGGGGGAAGUAUGAUUUCUACCACAACAACAUAUCUUGUUUGAUGAAGUCUCUGAUUCAAUCUAGGGUCAGAAACUCCCACAAACCUUCCUCUUUAACUAUCAAUUAAAUUCGUAAGAAUAAAAAUCAAAUGUUAGAACAAUCUUUAGAAAGGAAAAUCAUUCCUUUCAAUCAAGAUCGAUUCAAGAGUACAUGGAAAUGUGAAAGAAAUAAAUUCCAACACAGUUCCCCUCAUAUAUUUGUUGUAUGCCCUUGUCUGAACCGAAUGUGGUCUCAAAUUUCCACAUCCAGUUAUUCGAAGGCAAAUCAAAAUGGAAAUUCAGCUUAAACCCCAAGCAAAAAGAAAUAAAUCAGAACAUGGAACAUCAAGGUAAGUGUAUUAGAUGUAUCAGAGCUGAUUGAAGGACUAGAUUGAAAAACAAAUAAAAUUUUCUAUCAAGUCCAAAAUCAAAAAACUCUGAAAAAAAAAUCAUUUUCUAAGAACUAGAAAAAGACUAAUCAAUUUAUGCCUCAUCACUAAACCAGAUAUGAAACCGAAACUUGGAAGAAAUAAAUCUCCCUAAAACUCAUACGGCUACUCUGAGAGGCAUUCAUAUAAUGGAACUCCCAAGUAACCCUAAACAAAUAACAACUAAACAAGAAGCAGGAUGUAAGUUCAACUAACAGUUGAGGAAUCCGCAGUCGAAGCAGUGAUGGACUUUGAGGUUGCUGUAGGCUUUUCUUUUAAGGGAGAAACUGGAGGCUGAAUUAGGGUUUUGUAAUCGUUUUCAGCAAACUGACGGAUUUACCCUUUUCUGAUUUACUCUUUUAGGGCCGUGCUGUCUGUUCCAUAACAGUCUUUGAUGGCAACCAGGCCAGUCAGUGAGGCAAGCAGUUGGGGAUGGACAUCCCACUCCAACCGAGAGGCCAGAGAGGUUUCCAUGUCCUUUCUCGUAGGCAAGUAAUUAUAUGUAUUCAUCCAGCUUCACUAACAUUUGGCGAGAAUCUUCUGAUAUGCUAAGUCCAUUUUUUUGAGUUAGUUUGCAGUAACGGCCAUACUUUAGUUUGUUGCACAUCCUUUGUUCGACGAAAUUCCCUGAAGAGCUGAAUUCAUUACUAUGUCACAACGGAUUUGAGUUCGCUGAGGUUUUCAGAAAUACGAGUUCUUAAAGUAUGUUUACUGGUUUGCAUAAAAAGGGUAUUGAAAGGAUUCUUUGAGUUUGUACAAAGAAAUGUUGCCAUGUUGGGGAUGAAUAUGAGCACUACAGCUCAUAUGUUUGGGUUUGAGCACUACAGCUUUGUGAUAAGUUCUCUAGUUUCAAAUCAACGUUGUAUAAGGAGAGCACUUUGACAAUAUAUAUUUGAAGCGUGGCAGCACGCUCGUGAAAUUUGUGAUGAGAAGAUUAAUGUUUUAGGGACAUCUGGUGACAGCUUAUGAAGAGAGGAAGAUGGGGUUGAACUAUUUGAGGAAUUUGUGAAAAAGAGGAUUUGAAACCUGAUCGCGUAUGCUUUACAGCUGUUUUAACAGCUCGCAACCAUAGAGGCUUCUUGGAUUAAGGGAUAGGAUAUUUUAACAAAAUGAAGAAAAUGUGGUUUGGUCCCUGAACUACAUCAGUUGGCAUGCAUGGUUGAUCUUUAUGAGCGAACUGGGCGUCUUAGAAAAGCAAAGGAGUCAAUUUAAACAAUGCCUUAUGCUCGAAGUGUUAGUAUGUGCAUCACCAUGGGCCUUUGGAGAGUUCAUUAAUGAAGCAGAACUUGGGAGGGAAGCAGCACAUGCUGCACAUCACCUUUUUAUGCUGGAGGUCAAGAAUGUGAAUACAUAGCACUCUCAAGCAUUAUGCACAAGCUGGUGUGCUGGAAGAAGUAACAGAGGUUAGGCAUUUGAUGAGAGAGAAGGGAAAUAAAAAUAUUUGCUUGUGAGGUUGGCUAGAGUCAGAAUACAAAAAUACAUGGUUUCUCAAUAAAUGAUCCAUCUCAACCUUGGGCACCAGAAAUCUGCGGAAUUAGGUAGACACGCUGUAUUUUGAAAUAAUGUGUUAGUAUCCUGGAGCAUAUUUCUUAAUGAUGUAAACCUGUUACACAGAAAGCAUUAAGAUUCAAGACUUGAUCUAAAUUAGAUUGGUGGAGUACGAAAGCCUCUGCAGAGCCAAUGCACUCAUUCAAGUAGACUGCAACAGAGAAGAGUGACAUGUUGCUCAUUGAUGAUAUAGCUUGAGAAGGUAGAGUCAUUUUACGGCAUAGAGUUCAUGUUGCAGAAUCUAAUAUGGCAUCACAACAUAGCUGAUGGCAUUCAUGACAACAGCGCAAGUAAAAAAGUUGUUCCGGUUAGAAGCUGCAAAAGGGUAAAGUUUUCUCAGGAAAUUCGGGUUGGAAACUUGAAUUACAAGAAAUGGAUAUCAAACAAACAUGUUACAGAAUUACAAAAAUUGGAUAUCAAAUAAACAUGUUACAGACUUUGACGUUGCACCAGGACUAAUGUGUGUAUGGUACAUAAUGUGAUAACAACCUUCACCAACUUUACCAUGAAUU